ensembl:lncRNA
GAAAAGCUCUCACACACACAUAUGAAAUGCUCUCACACACACUACUGAAAAACUAUACUCUCACACACACAACUGAAAUGCUCUCACACACACAUAUGAAAUGCUCUCACACACACUACUGAAAAACUAUACGCUCACACACACAACUGAAAUGCUCUCACACACACAUAUGAAAUGCUCUCACACACACAUAUGAAAAACUGUACGCUCACACACACACAACUGAAAUGCUCUCACACACACAUAUGAAAUGCUCUCACACACACUACUGAAAAUCGAUACGCUCACACACACAACUGAAAUGCUCUCACACACACUACUGAAAUGCUCUCACACACACUACUGAAAAGCUACACGCUCACACACACAACUGAAAUGCUCUCACACACACUACUGAAAAGCUCUCACACACACAUAUGAAAAGCUCUCACACACACUACUGAAAUGCUCUCACACACACUACUGAAAAGCUCUCACACACACUUAUGAAAAGCUCUCACACACACAUAUGAAAAGCUCUCAUACACACAUAUGAAAAGCUAUACGCUCACACACACAACUGAAAUGCUCUCACACACACUACUGAAAAGCUCUCACACACACAUAUGAAAAGCUCUCACACACACAUAUGAAAUGCUCUCACACACACUACUGAAAAGCUCUCACACACACAUAUGAAAAGCUCUCACACACACAUAUGAAAUGCUCUCACACACACUACUGAAAAACUAUACUCUCACACACACAACUGAAAUGCUCUCACACACACUACUGAAAAUCGAUACGCUCACACACACAACUGAAAUGCUCUCACACACACUACUGAAAUGCUCUCACACACACUACUGAAAAGCUAUACGCUCACACACACAACUGAAAUGCUCUCACACACACUACUGAAAAGCUCUCACACACACAUAUGAAAAGCUCUCACACACACUACUGAAAUGCUCUCACACACACUACUGAAAAGCUCUCACACACACAUAUGAAAAGCUCUCACACACACAUAUGAAAAGCUCUCAUACACACAUAUGAAA